rnacentral:rRNA from 1 species
CCUACGGGAGGCAGCAGUGAGGAAUCUUGGUCAAUGGACGGAAGUCUGAACCAGCCAUGCCGCGUGCAGGAAUGCGGCUCUAUGAGUUGUAAACUGCUUUUGUACAAGGGUAAACCUGAAUACGUGUAUUCAGCUAGGAGUACUGUACUAAUAAGGAUCGGCUAACUCCGUGCCAGCAGCCGCGGUAAUACGGAGGAUCCAAGCGUUGUCCGGAUUUAUUGGGUUUAAGGGGUGCGUAGGCGGUUUGAUAAGUUAGAGGUGAAAUGUCCGAGCUUAACUCGGGAACUGCCUCUAAUACUGUUGAUCUAGAGAAUAGAUGCGGUAGGCGGAAUGUAUGGUGUAGCGGUGAAAUGCAUAGAUAUCGCGCAGAACUCCGAUGGCGAAGGCAGCAUACCGGCGCCCGACUGACGCUGAGGCACGAAGGCGAGGGUAUCGAACGGGAUUAGAUACCCCUGUAGUC